AUGGUGUUUUUUAAAAUAUGUAUAUUUUGAUAAAUUAAAAUGUGCAAUCCAUAUUAUUAUUUAGAAUUGGUCAUCAGUUCAAGAAUAAAGGGAAAAAAAGCAAAGCAAAAAAAUCCCUCAGAGAUCCCUUAUUAUAAGAACAUAACACCUGCAACAGAACUUAAAAGUCAAGUAUUAAAGAGUUUGUGUAUUUUGGAAAGCAACUGUCAGAAAGAAGAGAUUUUGAAUGUUUAGAGAGCAAGUAGUACCCAAAGCUCAUUCCAGGUUUCUGAAUGGGUUCAAAAUAGGCUAAGUUAAAGAAAAAUUAAUAUGACGGUUUACUAUAACAAACACUAUUUCAUAGGAAUGACGUCAUGAUCUGAAACAUUGGUCUGUUGAGGUGAUAAAGGAACUGCAACCAAGUGUUCAACAGCAAGUUUCCAAAGGAACAGAUACUCAUGAUAAGAAUAGGUGUUCUACUUCAUUCCCAGCUUAUUAUAUUUUUAGGCAGGAAAGGACCAGAACGUGAGAAUCUAGAGGUAAUACAAAACAUCUGCUGAUAUACUGAUUGCUAUGACUGAUUUUGAUUCCUGAAACUGAAAAAAGUAUUUUCCUUUUUACAUGCAAUCAAUAUGGAACAGCAAAGAAACUCAUAGCAAAUAUAUUGUAAGACUUUCUGUAAUAAAUUCCAAUUUCUUUGAAAGCACUGCAUGUGAUCACUGAACCUGUUAAUAUUGUCUGGGAAAUUUAUGCUGUCUCCCACCUAACAGACUGUACAUCACCUGCAGAAUAAUAAUGUUGAAAGUAAUUUAAAACCAAAGAACUGUUUUAGUUUUCAAGACUGAAGAAUGGAUAUUACGCUUCUUACAAAUCAUAAAUAACUCCUAAAUUUGAAGGAUAAACAUGAUAUAGGGGUUUUGCUGGAUGCUAAUAAGUGGAACAUAUAAAAUUCUAAUUGCUUUGGACAGUUGAAGUUGUCAGUCCAUAACACUGCACACCACAUAGACAGCCUUAGGCACUUCAGUACUCUAAUUACAGAAAGUCUGGCUCUUCACCAGUGUUUUAACACCUGAUUUAUUUCCUGUUCAAGUUGUUCAAUAGAGUCAGACUUAAUUGGUUUUCCAAAUGACUGUUAAAAAUAUAAAGAUCUGGUUUCAUUAAGUGGAGGCUAUACGUAUGCACCACUGAGUUGUAAAUCCAUGUAAAGGUUAGCAGGUGAGAUUUCAGAGUCCCGUGUACAAAAUCACAACUUCAGUUGAUUUCUUUUGCUUACAAAUUAUUGUUAAUAUCUGUUAAUUGACUUUAACUGCUUUUUCUAUUUAAAAGAGAAAGUUAAGCUGCAUGAAAAAAGUAAACAAAUCUGAAGCUAAACAUAUUAAAAGUGGGUUAAUCCAUUUUAUUUAUUUCAUGCUAUGUUCACCAUUCAUCUAAAAGGAUUACAAUACUUCUUUGCAAACUCAAUGUACUUUCUGUAUUCAUAAAAUGGAACAAGCAUUGUGCUGACUCCCUUACUGCUGAUAAAAGAUUCCUCCCUAUCACCUUGUUACCUGGCAAUGUAUCACAAACAAAUUAUCAUUUCCUAUUUUCAUGGCCUACUCUCUGUUGGAGUUCUGUAACGCGAUGCUUCUAACAGCAAAAUUGCAAUUCAAGAAGCAAAGAGAGUUGGCAGGUAUUUAAAAUUGUUUUUGAAUUCCUAUGAAGACAAUAAAAGAGGACUUACUGCGUUUUUGUUUUUGUUUUUUUUUUUUCCUUAGGAGCAAUUCAUAUUUGCUUUUGUCCCAUGUAAGUGUGUUCGUUUUCCUGUGAUUUUUUUUUUUUAUUUUUGCACUGUUCCCCAUUAUUUUUUUCUUGAAGUACUUCAAAAUUUCAGUAAGAAAUUCAGUAAGUUUAGGUUCAGUAAAAGAAAGCAGAGUGACAUAUAGCAUUUGUAGACUGUCCUUUUUCUUUAAGAGCAGCGGGUAGGAAGAUGUGAGGACAGUAGCUGAGAAGAAAAGCCUGGAGCUGAUCUGGUGGAUAGAGUAAUGAUGGCACACGGGCAUAGAAACAUCAUGAUAGAUGUCAGGUGGUCAAAACAGGGGCCUCAGAGAAACAGCAGUGCAUAUGUUCAUGGAGCCUGUGGAAGAAGCGAAGAAGUUCCCCAAGAAAGAGGCACGUGGAAGUCUAGAACUAAAUGAUAUGAU